CCUACGGGAGGCAGCAGUAGGGAAUCUUCCACAAUGGACGAAAGUCUGAUGGAGCAACGCCGCGUGAGUGAAGAAGGUUCUCGGAUCGUAAAACUCUGUUGUGAGGGAAGAACAAGUACCGGAGUAACUGCCGGUACCUUGACGGUACCUCAUUAGAAAGCCACGGCUAACUACGUGCCAGCAGCCGCGGUAAUACGUAGGUGGCAAGCGUUGUCCGGAAUCAUUGGGCGUAAAGCGCGCGCAGGCGGUCCCUUAAGUCUGAUGUGAAAGCCCACGGCUCAACCGUGGAGGGUCAUUGGAAACUGGGGGACUUGAGUGCAGAAGAGGAAAGCGGAAUUCCAAGUGUAGCGGUGAAAUGCGUAGAGAUUUGGAGGAACACCAGUGGCGAAGGCGGCUUUCUGGUCUGUAACUGACGCUGAGGCGCGAAAGCGUGGGGAGCAAACAGGAUUAGAUACCCUGGUAGUCCACGCCGUAAACGAUGAGUGCUAAGUGUUAGGGGGUUUCCGCCCCUUAGUGCUGCAGCUAACGCAUUAAGCACUCCGCCUGGAGAGUACGGUCGCAAGACUGAAACUCAAAUGAAUGACGG
rnacentral:rRNA from 1 species